UCUUCUGGGAUGGAUUGGAGCUUCACACUUGGGGCAGGCUCCAUCUAGGACUUGGAAGGGGAGGCCAAGACCCUGUGCUUAGCAGAGGGCCUGAGCAGAAUGCACAGUCUCAACCUCAAGAAAUUUCUCCAAUGAGAUUUCACUUUAGCUCUCAAAACACUUCCUGAGAAGACAAGAGUAAAUCCCAGGCUGCAGGCUGACUUUGGCAAGUUUUCUAGUUUAAAGCAUACGCAUGAAAAGGAACAUGCCUUUCACUGAUGCAUCAUUGUUACUGUGGUUUAACUUCUUAACCCCUCUUCCUGUUGAAGACUCCGCCAUAACUGAAGUGUCUACAGCUUUAGCUGCUAAUUACAUUUCCACCUACGAAGCUUGGAAAAAUAAAAUUUAGGAAAACUGUC